rnacentral:lncRNA from 1 species
CUGAGAUUGUGCACUUCUAAGGAGAUGCCAGGUGGUGCUAAUUCUGCUGCACUGGACACCACACUUAGAGUGGCGAGGUCACUAAAUAAUAGGAGCAAAAGGAUCGUGAGAACACCGACAUCAGUGAGAAGGAGGCUGGCUGCAGAGACCAUGAAAAUGAAAUCUAUGCAUGGAGUGCAAUCUUGCUGAGAACAAUUUGUUUCCUUUCUAUAUUGUCUCUCCAUGCCCUGCUCGCUCCCUUCAGGUACUAAUCAUAAUUAUAGUGCUUGAAGAUUCAGUGAAUUUCAUCAUUCCUUGUUACCAGCUAUGAAAAUCAUUGAUCGUUUCAAGGAUUGGCUAUUUGUUGAGAAGACUUAUUAGGGAAGCCCUAAUGAAUUCUGAGAGCAUGGUCCCUGGACAAGCAGCAUUAGAAUCACUUGGAAGCUUGUCAGAAAUGCAAAUUUUCAGGCCCCACUCAGACCUACUGAAUUAGAAACACAAGGAAUGGGGCCCAGCAAUCUUGGUUAACAAGCCUGCCAGGUGAUUCUGAUGCCUGGUCAGGUUUGAGAUUGGCUGUUCUGGAGUACCAUCCUUCAUCUCACCUCUUACUGUACCAAAGGAAGUGGAGUAGGGGUUGGGGAGACAAGUUGUCCUCAGUUCAGAAUAUUUGGAAUAUAAACCUACAGAGAUAACUAAGCUUAGUAGAAACAGCACAGGCUGAGAUAAACCUUGGCUUAAAUUCUGGCUCUGCCUACAUGUCUUUGAGCAUAGCAUUAAUACACCCUAAAAUGUUAUUAACCAUUUUGUGACUCAGUGUCCUUAAUGCUUUGCAGAAGCUAAA